GCCUGACCGACGGCACGAGGUGCCCCGAACGCUGCGACUCGGCGGAGGGGAGAAUCUGGGAAGCCGGUGAGAGUCCGGCACAGGCCCGCUGCGGUGACCCGUGGCUGUGGAGACACAGACCCGGGAAGUCCGAAGACCGGCCUCGCGCCACGCAUCAUC
rnacentral:ncRNA from 2 species